rnacentral:pre_miRNA from 1 species
UAACAUCCACAGGCUGGCCGCCCCCCAGACUGGGCUGGGUGAGUAUGUUUUCGAAAGGCUUACUCUCAAGCAUGACCAGGAGC